GUAUGAGGGCAAAACCAGCAUUUUGCCGACUGACUGCAUUAGUAAACCUAACGUUAAUGAGGAAGACUUUUUCAACGGCUCCUAACGUUAUGGGACAACAUCUUGCUAUCAACUUGCAGCUAGCUAUGUGGUGGAGGGGAGGAAGGCAGCCAAGAGGUAGUUGGCCGGUUUACGAGGCCAUGGUGGUCAAAAUUGCUGAGAGGCAACACUCGAAAGCUACAUCAAGGACACCGGAGGAUGGACCCGAAGACCUGAGACCAAGACGACCCAAGCCCAACCCAUAGUAUGCUUCACUGACAAAUGUUGAUGCUUCAUCGUCACAUAGACCAAAGGUUUCAGAGAAGGCUGGUAGAGCUCUCUAGGAGUGUGAGCUGUGGGAGAUAACCAAGAACUGACAACCACCUACAGAAGAGGUGGCGAUAAUGGCUCUCCAAGAGGAGGUUGUGAGUCUGAAGGCUUUUAUUCAACAAGGAGGCACUUAGAGGGAAUGCCUGGACCCUUAGAGGACUAAGACGAUAAUUGAGGCCACCCUGAAGCAGUUCCCAGGCUAGACACUCACUCCAGAUUGCUGGGCCAGGCAAUAAAUGCCAAAGUGACAACUGAGGUUCCAUAACAAAAACAACAAGAUUUUCAAUAAAAUAGAAUAAAAGAUAACAGAAGUGUUGUGUGUUUCUUCCUCUUUAUACUGAUACUAUGGUUAAUUUUAAGUAAACACAAGUGAAAUAUUUAAUGAUCAAUGCGGAAAAUAUCAAACCAUAGUAGAAUAUGAACUAUAUUAGAUAAAUAUAUGUCUGAAAUAUAUAGAUCAUGUGAUCAGAAUCUUCAUCAAGGGUCAUGUGAUCAUGCUUCUUACUGCCAUAUAUUUAAAUAUAUUUAAUUAUAUGCAUAAAAUAUA